CGGUUAGGAUUGACAGAUUGACAGCUCUUUCUUGAUUCGGUGGUGGUGGUGCAUGGCCGUUCUUAGUUGGUGGAGUGAUUUGUCUGGUUAAUUCCGAUAACGAACGAGACUCUANCUUACUAANUAGUCGCAGCUUUCUUCUGACUGCUGAGCUUCUUANAAGGACAGNGG
rnacentral:rRNA from 1 species